rnacentral:siRNA from 1 species
CGGGGGUCGUGUGAUGGACUCCAA